rnacentral:tRNA from 1 species
GGAAAGAUAGUUUAAGUAAAAUAUCGGAUUGUCAUUUCGAAGCUGAGGGUUGGACCUCUUUUUCUUUC